UUCAUGCCCAAAAAUCAUGGGAUUCACGCAUGCUACAAUGGCCGGUACAAUGGGCUGCGAUACCGUGAGGUGGAGCGAAUCCCAAAAAGCCGGUCCCAGUUCGGAUUGUAGUCUGCAACUCGACUACAUGAAGUCGGAGUCGCUAGUAAUCGCAGAUCAGCAACGCUGCGGUGAAUACGUUCCCGGGUCUUGUACACACCGCCCGUCAAGUCAUGAAAGUCGGUAACACCUGAAGCCGGUGGCCUAACCCCUUGUGGGAGGGAGCUGUCGAAGGUGGGAUCGGUAAUUAGGACUAAGUCGUAACAAGAUACCGAAGGGC
rnacentral:rRNA from 1 species